UAUUUUUUAUACUGUAAAAGUUGAAUAUUUUCUGCGGAGUAUGGGAAUCCGGUCAAAAGCCGGAACGGCCCCUGCCGCCGUGAUCGGGACGAAAGCGCAUAAUGCCAUUGCAUACAGCGAGAAGGCGCGCGAUUAGGAUGAACGUAAGUCGGAAAACCUGCUGCGGAGAACUUGGCUUU
rnacentral:ncRNA from 1 species